CAGAGUCUCCCCAGUACGUCCUAGGCGUCGCAAUCCAAACAGUCAACGAGGUUCCAAACAGGAACGGAUAUCAAUCCAGAUUGCAAAAAGGAAGUAUCAAAUACAUAAACUACAGCUAUUACAAGCAUUCUAUUACAUUCAUUUUUACAUCACAUUUUUCUUUUACAAUUUGCUUCCAAAUUACAAUCUAGUUAUUACAUCAGAGUUUGAUACAUUUUCUUUUCUUUUGUCUUCUAAUCCCCUAAGCUAGACUGUCUCAGGGUACUGCUACCUCGGUCUCUGUGGUAGGGCGCUAUCUACGGAGCUACGCCCUCGCCUCGCGCUGCUGCGCCGCACUCGUACAACCUCUAAACACCCCAAAGCAACGUGGGGUGAGAACCAACUCCAUGGUUCCCAGUGGGUACGGCCACCCAAGGGAAAAGCUCGACCGAUAGGUCUAAGUAGGCCCUGCAACAUGUCAGUUCAACAAUAUACGAUGCAGAUAUAUUCAAUUGAAAUACAUGUUAGGCCUAACAAUAUGCAAUAUGAAACUUCAUGCUUUUCCAUACGUUUCUAGUAGAUUACUUGAUUCUACUUAGCUACUUUGGCACAUUUAACAACUUGUAGAUUAUCUGUAGUCUACUUUUUACUUGGCUACUUUAGCCCACAUCUUCACUCUAAGGUUUCUAUUACUUUAGGUUCACAACACUAACCACUGGCUUCUAAGGUUUCUAUUAUCUUAGCUCAAGCCUCUAACAUCUAGCUCAUAAGGGUUCCUCUACCCUAUCAUAGCUAACCACCCGACUCGGCUUCGAGUCAAUCAUCCGCGGAUAGCCCGCGCUCCGGCUGCUCAGUCAGCCUACCGCACUCACUCUGACUCAGCCUCCUAGCGGCGAAAUCGUCGCACACGCUGAACACGGCUCGAGCCACAAGACUUAACCAUCGGUGGCGAUCGCGUUGCACUUACCCAGCGAGAGCUCGAGACCUGACAUACCAUCUGGCGGCGAACGAGUCGCACCACACCCAACAACGGUCAUGUCAAACUUAGUCACCUGGAGGCACCCGCAUCGUACUUACCCAACAUGGACUCAGUCUGCUCUAGCGGUCUGAUCCUCAAAUGGCUUAACCACUCUGGCGGCGAAAUCGUCGCACAAACGCCAGGACCAUGGUUCAAGCCCCGGGCCGUGAUCUCUCAGUGGUCACGCCCAAUCUACCUACGGUACUCUAAGCUCAGCGGCGAAAUCGUCGCACACACGCCCUAGCCCGUACCAGGGACAUAGCAAAAGUCCUGAGAUUCCGGAAUCCACUUUACCACAGGUCGAGGGUUAAUAACCAACCCUAUACUGUCGACC
rnacentral:lncRNA from 1 species